AAAUCUUGAGGCUUAACUUCAAAACAGCAGUCGAAACUAUUAGACUAGAGUAUAGUAGGGGUAAAGGGAAUUUCCAGUGGAGCGGUGAAAUGCGUAGAUAUUGGAAAGAACACCGAUGGCGAAAGCACUUUACUGGGCUAUUACUAACACUCAGAGACGAAAGCUAGGGUAGCAAAUGGGAUUAGAUACCCCAGUAGUCCUAGCUGUAAACAAUGGAUACUAGAUGUUGAACAGAUCGACCUGUGCAGUAUUAAAGCUAACGCGUUAAGUAUCCCGCCUGGGAAGUAUGCUCGCAAGA
rnacentral:rRNA from 1 species